UGCGUAGGCGGCUUUUUAAGUCGGAUGUGAAAUCCCUGAGCUUAACUUAGGAAUUGCAUUCGAUACUGGAAAGCUAGAGUAUGGGAGAGGAUGGUAGAAUUCCAGGUGUAGCGGUGAAAUGCGUAGAGAUCUGGAGGAAUACCGAUGGCGAAGGCAGCCAUCUGGACUGUAACUGACGCUGAGGCUCGAAAGCGUGGGGAGUGAACAGGAUUAGAUACCCUAGUA
rnacentral:rRNA from 1 species